GAGUUUGAUUAUGGCUCAGGAUGAACGCUAGCGGGAGGCCUAACACAUGCAAGCCGAGCGGGAUUUGUUGGUUAGCUUGCUAACUAAUAAUGAGAGCGGCGUACGGGUGCGUAACACGUGUGCAACCUGCCUUUAUCUGGGGGAUAGCCUUUCGAAAGGAAGAUUAAUACCCCAUAAUAUAUUAAUUGGCAUCAAUUGAUAUUGAAAGCUCCGGCGGAUAGAGAUGGGCACGCGUAAGAUUAGCUAGUUGGUGAGGUAACGGCUCACCAAGGCUGCGAUCUUUAGGGGGCCUGAGAGGGUGAUCCCCCACACUGGUACUGAGACACGGACCAGACUCCUACGGGAGGCAGCAGUGAGGAAUAUUGGACAAUGGGUGAGAGCCUGAUCCAGCCAUCCCGCGUGAAGGACUAAGGACCUAUGGUUUGUAAACUUCUUUUAUACAGGGAUAAACCUACUCUNGUGAGGGUAGAAGAAGGUACUGAUGAAUAAGCACCGCA
rnacentral:rRNA from 1 species